rnacentral:lncRNA from 1 species
CUAUUAUUAUUUCUUUUUCUGCUAUAUUUUUAUUAUUUAUUAAACUUCUUGGUAGAUCUGGGCACAUAUCAUUAUCAGUCUUUAUUUCUUCAUUUUUUACUAGAUAUUUUGCUAUAUAAUUUUCUUCUUGUCCUGUAUUUAAUAGUAGAAUAUAUUCUUUUUCAUUUAUUUUUCCUGUUAUGUAAUAUUGGUUUAAAUUACUUAUUGAAUUUAUUUCAUAACUUGUUCUUUUUGAUGAGCUUGAUGAUUCUGGUUUUUCAUAUCUGAAUAAUAUCCUUCUGCGUAAAUUUCUUCGUAUAACUGUUCUAGACAAUUUGUAGUUUCAAUUUCGUAGUCUAUUACUUUAUCUAAUAUUAUUUUCUUAAUAUCUAUAAUUUCUAUAUCUUUAAGUAUAUAUAACAAAUUUUUCUUACGAUAAGAUUACAAGUAAUAAUGUAAAGCAUUUAUGACCUUUCUUAGCUUUUUAUGGUAGGUAGCAUAGUAGCCUAACCCCUUAGCCCCUUUUGUUGACUUUUAGUUUUUAGUUUUAAAAAACGUGUGUAAAGUUUGAUUGUAAAGAUUGUUUUUCGUUCUAUAAAUAAAGAAGGCAGAAGGCAUUGCAAAGGCAAGCCUUC